rnacentral:rRNA from 1 species
GACGAACGCUGUCGGCGUGCCUAAUACAUGCAAGUCGAACGCUUUUUCUUUCACCGGAGCUUGCUCCACCGAAAGAAAAAGAGUGGCGAACGGGUGAGUAACACGUGGGUAACCUGCCCAUCAGAAGGGGAUAACACUUGGAAACAGGUGCUAAUACCGUAUAACACUAUUUUCCGCAUGGAAGAAAGUUGAAAGGCGCCUUUGCGUCACUGAUGGAUGGACCCGCGGUGCAUUAGCUAGUUGGUGAGGUAACGGCUCACCAAGGCAACGAUGAAUAGCCGACCGGAGAGGGUGAUCGGCCACACUGGGACGUAGACACGGCCCAGACGCCUACGGGAGGCAGCAGUAGGGAAGCUUCGGCAAUGGACGAAAGUCUGACCGAGCAACGCCGCGUGAGUGGAGAAGGUUUUCGGAUCGUAAAACUCUGUUGUUAGAGAAGAACAAGGAUGAGAGUAAAACGUUCAUCCCUUGACGGUAUCUAACCAGAAAGCCACGGCUAACUACGUGCCAGCAGCCGCCGUAA